UGGGGAAUAUUGCACAAUGGGCGCAAGCCUGAUGCAGCCAUGCCGCGUGUAUGAAGAAGGCCUUCGGGUUGUAAAGUACUUUCAGCGAGGAGGAAGGGUAGUGUGUUAAUAGCACAUUGUAUUGACGUUACUCGCAGAAGAAGCACCGGCUAACUCCGUGCCAGCAGCCGCGGUAAUACGGAGGGUGCAAGCGUUAAUCGGAAUUACUGGGCGUAAAGCGCACGCAGGCGGUUUGUUAAGUCAGAUGUGAAAUCCCCGCGCUUAACGUGGGAACUGCAUUCGAAACUGGCAGGCUAGAGUCUUGUAGAGGGGGGUAGAAUUCCAGGUGUAGCGGUGAAAUGCGUAGAGAUCUGGAGGAAUACCGGUGGCGAAGGCGGCCCCCUGGACAAAGACUGACGCUCAGGUGCGAAAGCGUGGGGAGCAAACA
rnacentral:rRNA from 1 species